GGGCUGGGGCAGAUUGGGGUAGAGUGGGGCAAAAGGGUUUGCAUGACGGGUUUCUGUUAGAUCUCUUCUGUCCGUUUUGGGUUGAUUUCGCAAUGGAAAAGGCAGAUGAAUAUCUUUUAUUUAAUGUGGGAAAAAUGAUCUCCAAAAUAAAUUAUUUGAUUUUUUAAACACAGUGACGACAUUAUUUGCAACCUGUUACAAUGGUGUGUGUUUGUGGGUGUGUGUGUGUGUCUAGAACUCUCUAAACUUGAAUACCUUCCAGUUCAUUCCGUGUCAGCCAUGCCAAAAACGUCUCCAGUAAAGCCUGAUCAAAGGUGAGUUUAUUAGGGGUCAAAGGUGAUUUUAUUGGGAGUCACAGAUUGUCAACAGUAAAACAGAUCCAAAUAUGGCUGCUGUAAUCGCAAAGCCACAAAACACGUAAAGCAUUACAUCAUAGGCACAGGCGAUUUCAGUGCGUUCACAUUGCAGAGGAAACUAGAUGGUACUGCACAUGGUCAAAGACAGAAGAAGAAAAUCGGAAAGCUACUGGCUGUGUGUGGUGAUACUGCUAGCUGUGUGUGGUGAUACUGCUAGCUCACAACCAAAGAAGCCACUGCUCAGUUGUCAGUUGCCAUGAUCUGGCUCACCAGAUGCACUGUACAUCAAGCAGGCGUGUGGGUUUGAUAAGAUGCACUGUACAUCAAGCAGGCGUGUGGGUUUGUUAAGAUGCACUGUAGAUCAAGCAGGCGUGUGGGUUUGAUAAGAUGCACUGUAGAUCAAGCAGGCGUGUGGGUUUGAUAAGAUGCACUGUAGAUCAAGCAGGCGUGUGGGUUUGAUAAGAUGCACUGUAGAUCAAGCAGGCGUGUGGGUUUGAUGAGAUGCACUGUAGAUCAAGCAGGCGUGUGGGUUUGAUGAGAUGCACUGUACAUCAAGCAGGCGUGUGGGUUUGUUAAGAAUCAAGAAUCAAGAAAGUGUUUGGGUUUGUUAAGAUGCACUGUACAUCAAGAAAGUGUUUGGGUUUGUCCGGAUGAGCGAAUGCAACCAGAUCGCAGCAUCUGACUGGAAGGGACCUGGCCCCGACCCAGGCCAGAUCAGGGCCAGACCCAGGCCAGAUCAGGGCCAGACCCAGGCCAGAUCAGAGCCAGACCCAGGCCAGAUCAGGGCCAGAUCCGACUGCUGUUGCUUUCUGGCAACGAUGAGUGGUUAGUCUUACACACUGAGUGUACACACACACACACCUUCACGAGUGAGCGAUGAGUGGUUUGUCUUACACACUGAGUGUACACACACACACACACACCUUCACGAGUGAACGAUGAGUGGUUUGUCUUACACACUGAGUGUACACACACACACACACACACCUUCACGAGUGAGCGAUGAGUGGUUAGUCUUACACACUGAGUGUACACACACACACACACACACCUUCACGAGUGAGCGAUGAGUGGUUAGUCUUACACACUGAGUGUACACACACACACACACACACCUUCACAAGUGAGCGAUGAGUGGUUUGUCUUACACACUGAGUGUACACACACACACACACACACCUUAA
ensembl:lncRNA